UUUCUCAUCGUCUCAGUGGCAUUUUUCCUAGGGCUGUUCCGAGAGAACAGCGGGGAUUGAAGGGACGGAGGCAAGGAGAUGCACAAUCCGGGCAGCUCUCGCUCUUCUCGGAAGGCGAAGGGAGUUUGGCGGAGAAGACGGGGUUGAUUUUCAAAUCAUGGACGGCUUGGUGACCUUAGCAGGCCCAGAAAGAGGGCUCCUCCAAUUCAGGUGUGGAGAUUGGGAAGGUGACAAGGUGAAGGCAAUUGAAGGAAGAGCCGAGGGGGACAUGGGGAAGGAUUUUGUUUCACCCCUCCUAAGUUGAACCAUUGUCCUUUGAAGGCCGGCUCCUGGAGAAAUUAAAGGGCCCCUGUGUGACACAGCCAUGUCAUACAUAAACAGAACUCUGAAGCCUAUCAACUCCUGAGGCUAAGUAAGAGGGAAUGUAGGGGCCAAGGCAGAAGAGAAACCAAAACCUCAGAGCGCUGAGCAAAGAUGCCAAUCAGAGAAAGAGAAAUUCAUUUGCGAUGUUAAUUAACAAGCGGCUAAUUAAAACGGCACUUUGAGUGCUAAUCAAUCGCCUUAUUAAGUUACAGCCAUCACUGGAACAAAUUGAAACCUCCCCGCCCCGUUUUCUGCCUUUGGUGCAGGCGGGGCCGCGUUCCCAGAUACCGUGAGAGGCCUUGGGGCGCGGAGGUUGGGGGCAGCCUCGGUCAGCUUUCUCAGUCUCUCCCAGGUCUACAGAAUACGCCACUGGACAAGUGCCUAAGCAGCGACUUCUGGUCCAGACACACCGCCCGGGGAGUAAGUAGUUGCGUCGAAGAACAACUCAUUCAGCAGCAGUUAACACCGACGUUUCCUCCUAGAAAGAGCUCCCGCAAAGCGGGGGGAUGUGACCUGUGGGCCCCCAGCAGGGGUAGGAGGCAGUUCAGCCCGAGAGGGGGCGCUCUAGGGCCUGGAUCCUGCAUCCCUAUUUCCUGGAACACACCCAACGCCUCAUUCUGAAAACCCUGCUUAGGCCCUGGCCCUGGUGCCGCUCAGCAACCAGGAAAGAGCUGGACCUGCCUUCAGGCAGCAAGAACAGGACUGCCAGCCUCCUGUGGCUCUGUCUCCCGAGGCUCCAUGAGAAGGGGAUGGGGGUGCAAGAAGGGAAGAGUGAGGUGGUGUGCUGGGCGUCGGGGACGAGGACGCACGCCAGCCAAGACGUGCCUCCCACCCAGCCCACGCGCGCUUCCCCACCCCCCUGGCCCUCCAAAAUCGCUCCACCUGCCUGGCAGCCUCUGUUGAAACCAAACACACUCGGAGCGCCCAGUGCAACAUUCUUGGGGUGCCGAGUAGAAGCGCAGUAAAGAGAGACCCUAGCGGACUCCUGUCUGGUUUGCUUUUUACCGACUCUUACAGAAAAAAAGAGAAUGCCAUUGGAAGAAGCUCUUUUGCGUGGUGGGCGAUGUGUGGGUGGGGGACUUGUGGCAUGGCCCACGGUGUUGUUUCUGUGCCUGCGAUGACACACGUAUGUCUUGAGCUGUGGGCUCGCCUUCCUGGAGGUGCGCCCGACCGCAUCUGCUGGUGGGUCUGAGCGUGCUUGGGGUGUCCCAGGAGAACUGAGAGAACGGCUCCCACGUGCAAAGUUCCAAAGCAUUAAUAUUUUCAUCAUAUUAUCAUUAUUCAAUAUAAUAAUAUUUGUUCGGUUAGCGGCACUAAUUAGGCCACAUUAAAACCGUAGUGUGUCCCUAAUGGUGCGUAAUGUGCUCACACUCACAUUUUUCUCUCUGAGGAUGGGCGGCUGCAGGCUGGUAGGGGAGGAGAGACAGGCAAGCGGCGGGCUGGAUUAGGGCGUGACGCCCCCCACCACGCACACAAACAUACACAGCCCACUGGAUGUCUGCCGGGUGGGAGCCGCAAUCUCCGCGCGGUCGAUGGGGCCCUCCGCUGCGCACUCGGCCCUGCGCCGAGCACCCUGCAGCCUCCUCCCGCGACACGGCGCUUUGAACUCGGCGGAUUGAUUUUGCUUCCCUUCCCCCUUUUGUGUGUGUUUGCGUUCAAUUGGUUAGGUUUUUAAGAUUUGGGAGGGCUGGUGUGAAAGAAUUAAAAUACUCUUAACUGGAGCCCCUCCGCCGAGAACUGGAGGUCCCGCCUCCUAGUUCGGCGCUUUCAGGACCCUCUUCCCAGAGGGAAUUUCUUUCAGAAAUUCCAGGGUGGGCUUGUAAAAGACGCUUCCGCAGAGCAGGUCCCGUCAGGGUCUUUUUCCUGUUCCUGGUGCCAGCGGUCGGCCCGGGCGCCCCGCAGACCUCGGCGAGGUAGAUGUUAAGCUCGGAGAGUGCCCCUCCCGCAGGCGCCGUGGCGAGAUCACUCUGAAUAUGUAACAUAUUUGUAACGUGCGCCGAGGUGUGAUGUGUGUGCUGAAAUAGGGGGAUGGGGGAAUUCGAAGCCGGAUUGGGAAGGCGGGGGGGAGGCGCACAGAACUCACAAUGUACUUCGCAAUCUAACAAUCUGAACAUUCAUUUAUUAAAAGCUGCUGCGUGACAUUUACACUGAGCCACCAGUCUCUGCCUCUAAUCCGGGCGAAAACGAUUGUACUGCCGAGUUAUGGCUGCAGCGUAUGGGGACGCUGCUGUCCGCGGCCGGACAGAGCCCAUCAGCUACAACGCGGAAGGCCUCUGCACCCCCUUGGGGGCGGGAGGAAAGU
rnacentral:lncRNA from 1 species